rnacentral:piRNA from 1 species
UGGUGCACGAGUUCAAUGCUAAUAUUUUC